CUGCUGACAUGAGUGUUGCAUAUUCCUUAAUUUGGGUGCAUUGGUUUCUGCACUUAGUCUUCCUGUUUUAAAGAUUCGUAAAUCCUUGUUCUACUGAAAAAUUUAUUCACAGCUUUGACUCUUCUGGAAUAUCCUGAAUUUCCCUAAGGCUGAAUACAAUGCAACAUUUGGACCAAAGUCACACGAGGCCACGUAUUGUAUAAGCAACCUUCUACUUUUGAAAUAUGUACUUAAAAACUGCCACUGGCAGUUGUGAUCAAGAACAAA